rnacentral:rRNA from 1 species
GAUGAACGCUGACAGAAUGCUUAACACAUGCAAGUCAACUUGAAUUUGGGUUUUUAACUUAGGUUUGGGUGGCGGACGGGUGAGUAACGCGUAAAGAACUUGCCUCACAGCUAGGGACAACAUUUGGAAACGAAUGCUAAUACCUAAUAUUAUGAUAAUAGGGCAUCCUAUAAUUAUGAAAGCUAUAAGCGCUGUGAGAGAGCUUUGCGUCCCAUUAGCUAGUUGGAGAGGUAACGGCUCACCAAGGCGAUGAUGGGUAGCCGGCCUGAGAGGGUGAUCGGCCACAAGGGGACUGAGACACGGCCCUUACUCCUACGGGAGGCAGCAGUGGGGAAUAUUGGACAAUGGACCAAGAGUCUGUUCCAGCAAUUCUGUGUGCACGAUGAAGUUUUUCGGAAUGUAAAGUGCUUUCAGUUGGGAAGAAAGAAAUGACGGUACCAACAGAAGAAGUGACGGCUAAAUACGUG